GGGAAACCAAGGCAGGAGAAGCAGGCGGCUGCCGGUCGGAGCGUGAGGUGAACUGAAUUUCAGUGCUGUCAUGUGAAGGCUGUGUGCAGGCAGGAGUGGUGGACCCAAAGUGCAGACACACGAAGGAAAACCUUGAACUCCAAUGCAACUUUAAUGGUGGAUGGCAAAAAACAGAAAACUGGCUAAACUGGGAAUACAGACACUAAACUGGCAGACAAACUGGCAGACAAACUGGCAGACAAACUGGCAGACAAACUGGCAGACAAACUGGCAGACAAACUGGCAGACAAACUGGCAGCACACCCAGCAUAGGAUGAUGAAGGUCACAACACAGACAAAGGAACACACAGGGCUUAAAUACACAGAGGAGCAAUCAAGGAAUGGGAAACAGGAGGGAAACACAGCUGGGGCAAAUCAGGGCUAACGAGACAAGGGAAGCAAAACCUGAUACAAUAACCUGAGAAACGGACUUCAAAGUAAAAAAGGAAACAUAACACAGAGACGUAGACUUGACAAGGGGAUACAGCAGACAGGGGAGACAGAGCAACUAAGGAACACAGACAGAAACCAGAAAACAGAACACUAACAAAGAAACCAAAAGACUAGAAAUGAUAAAUAAUAUCAAAGUCAAAAAUUCAAUAAAAAUGCAAAACUGAAAACUCUGAGUCGACGACCCAGGCACCCUAACAAGUGCUCAUACAUGUGUCUAAACUCACAAGUAACCAUAAUAGACCAGAGAAAGAAAUCUUAUUGAUGCAAAUCUUCUCUAACACCUUCACGUAGCAGGUAUCAAACUGAUCAGACACUUCUUCUCUUCCUGUUGACAAAAGCUUGAUAUGGACUUGAAUUCUCCAUACUUACUGUUCAUUUUGUUCAGAAUGUCCAAAUUACUAAGGUAGACCAAACAGGAGAACCAAUGGGACACAGCUUAAAAGUUUCACAAUCAAGUGGAGCUGGGUACAGGGGGAUGCUGUGAGCUUGCCUGGGAUUGGAGGGGUUCUUCCAGGUCCAGGAGAAAAAAAGUUCCAUGAAAAGGAAGAGACAAGUUUUAGAUCCUAAUCCAAAGUGACUGCUGAUAAUGCUGAGAGAGAACUGACAGGUGAGUCUGAGCUUACUUUGAAAAUCCAUAGGGGAAGUGUUCCAGAGGGGAGGAACAGGGCACCAGUGGACAGUCCAGGGCAGUGUUACUGUUGGAGGGUAAGAAGGCAGGUGGAUCGGCUGAAGUAAGUGAUCCAGGUUCGGUGUGAGAGCCGGCUUGCUUAUCUUGAUGAUGAGGAUAGACGGCGAGAUUCUCUUCAGCUGUCAGGAGGAAAACUGGGAACAAGAUGCUGCAU
ensembl:lncRNA